rnacentral:lncRNA from 1 species
CCCUCCCUCCACCCUUGCCCUGGCCUGUUACCCCACCUCCCCCAGCAAAGAUCCCAAAGCACAAUCUCCUGAUAACUUGGCAAGCAGCCGAGCCUGUCCAUGGUCAGGACAGGCUGCGCCCCUGCCCAGGCUGAGUAAGGGGCCAGCUCCAUGGGACUGAGAAUCUUGUAGAGUGGGCAGCGGAGCCCAUUGGUUCCAAGCACCUCAGGAGGUGGCCCUGACUCCCCGGGCUUGGGGUAAGAGAAGUAUAUAGCCAGGGGUGCAGGGGAGAAAACUACUCACUAGGAGAGCCAAAGACAGGGUUGUGCCUUACCUCAGGAGCCACCCCUGCGCCCCUCCUCUGGCGGUCAGCUGCUUGCCUUGCCCUCCUGAGAGCUGCAUGGCCCCUACCCCAAGCACCCAGGAGAGUGAAAAAGUGACCCACUUAGCAGGAAAGACAAGUAGGGGCAAACCCAGUGGCUACCCUCCCUCCCACCCAUCCAUGCCUCUCAUGGGGACAGGCCAUCACCCACUGGCCCAUGUGAAGUGCCAAUGCCCUCCCCACCCAGAGCCAAGCCCCCACCCUUCCCAGGCCCACAAGUGAGAUUGCAUAUUAACUACUGUACGGAGAGGAGCGGUGUUGGGAAAUGUGAACCCUGAGAGUCAGUGAUGCUGAUAAGAAUAAACAAGACGCCUUUGUAACAGCC